rnacentral:rRNA from 1 species
UUAGUGGCGGACGGGUGAGUAACGCGUGGAUAACCUGCCGUAUACAGGGGGAUAACACUUAGAAAUAGGUGCUAAUACCGCAUAAGCGCACGGUUCCGCAUGGAACAGUGUGAAAAACUCCGGUGGUAUACGAUGGAUCCGCGUCUGAUUAGCCAGUUGGUGGGGUAACGGCCCACCAAAGCGACGAUCAGUAGCCGGCCUGAGAGGGUGAACGGCCACAUUGGGACUGAGACACGGCCCAAACUCCUACGGGAGGCAGCAG